rnacentral:rRNA from 1 species
AGGACGAACGCUGGCGGCGUGCUUAACACAUGCAAGUCGAACGGUGAAGCCCUUUCGGGGGUGGAUCAGUGGCGAACGGGUGAGUAACACGUGAGCAACCUGCCCUUGACUCUGGGAUAACUUCGGGAAACCGGAGCUAAUACCGGAUAUGACACGCGGAGGCAUCUCCUGUGUGUGGAAAGAUUCAUUGGUCAAGGAUGGGCUCGCGGCCUAUCAGCUAGUUGGUGGGGUAAUGGCCUACCAAGGCGACGACGGGUAG